rnacentral:rRNA from 1 species
UAAGGAAUAUUGGUCAAUGGACGCAAGUCUGAACCAGCCAUGCCGCGUGCAGGAUGACAGCCCUAUGGGUUGUAAACUGCUUUUGUACGGGAAAAACCCCUCGAUCGUGAUCGAGGCUGAUGGUACCGUAAGAAUAAGGAUCGGCUAACUCCGUGCCAGCAGCCGCGGUAAUACGGAGGAUCCAAGCGUUAUCCGGAUUUAUUGGGUUUAAAGGGUGCGUAGGCGGAUUAUUAAGUCAGUGGUGAAAGCCUGCAGCUUAACUGCAGAACUGCCAUUGAUACUGAUGAUCUUGAGUACAGUUGAGGUGGGCGGAAUGUGUCAUGUAGCGGUGAAAUGCAUAGAUAUGACACAGAACACCUAUUGCGAAGGCAGCUCGCUAAACUGUAACUGACGCUGAGGCACGAAAGCGUGGGGAUCAAACAGGAUUAGAUACCCGCGUAGUCC